AACGGCCAUACCAUGCUGAAUAUACCGGUUCUAAGCAUCAUUGGGCGCGGUCAGUACUUGGGUGGGUGACCACCUGGGAACACCGCGUGCCGUU